GUCCUACAGGCCUUGUUUUCCCCAGCCCUGUUUUGGCUCUGUUGCUUCCUUCUUCGGCUCUCUUUCCCACCAACCAUGAGGUCAUCUUCCUUCCAAAACAGGACCUCAAUCUUCUUAAUCUCACUCACUGUUCUGCAUCUCUUUGUCUGCAGAACCAAAGAGAAGGAAGACUGAAGAAGCGUACACAGCACUUGAAGCCAAUGAACUCUGCCAAACUAUGCAGCAAAGGGUAAAAGUUAGGUCAGUGCAGACAGAAGAGACCUGAAUAUGGCAAAACUACUAGGGAGAGGUGACCAUGGGAGUUGGGCGUGUUGAUCAAUCCACAACCCACAUACAAAGAAGUGUCUGGCCAUCUGCUCCUGAAAGAUUUAUUGUCUUGAGGAGGCAACUGGGUGCUGAAGAAGAACAGAGGGAAUGAGGACAGAGCCCAGCCCAGGCCAAGACAUUACAGUGCUACCUUGCAUCACAUAAUCUUAACCUGCAUGCUUUCACAUGCAUGCUGCUGUUUUGUCAUCACAACUCUGCCAGGUUGACAAGCCAGAAAUCAAGAUGAUCACUGACUUCUGUCCAAGUUCCCUCAGUUAAUCCCAUUAGCAGAACGAGGGUUUGGAAUUAAGUCUAGUUCUGGGUAUAUGAUUCCUGAACGACCCAGCUCUUCAUCGGACUCUAUAAGAACAAGGAAGGAAGCAAUUGCUUCUUGAGCUCACUUUGCCUAUGUCUAGAACCUUCAGUGGUCACUGACCAGAGCAAUCCACAGUGGGACUAGGAGAUGGAGUCAUGAUGCUAUAAUGAAAACAUUGUGUCAGUCUCAUAGUUGACUUUCUAUCUGGGUGAGGAAGGUGUCAGGACUUUGGCCUCAGAAGGCAGGGAAUGAGGGCAGUUUGAUUGGAUAAUAUUCAUCUGCAAGAAUCUCUAAGCAGAAGCCUUCUACUUGGCACUGCUUGGGAAGAAGCAGACUCAUAUUCUAUUUCCAGCUGCAGCUCAGCCUUGCAUAAGCCUCUGCACCCUCAGGCCCAAUUGGCUCUAAUUGCCACCUCCUCAAUCUUGGGAUGACAAAGAAGACAAGAAGAGUAAAGAAGGUGUGUCUAGUCCUUCCCCAGGUGGCUCCUGACUGGCUGCUAUGCCAAGCAGAGAGAAUGGGCCACAUGGCCCAAACCUCUUCCACCAGUGGGACUACUUAUCACCUGGUCCAAGUGUUUCUUUCCUUGGAUAGGUUUUCACCUUUCCUUCAUUACCCCUUAAGAAACAAGCAUGCCUUGACAAAGAGGUAAAUAAUUCAUGCCCCCUACAGCAUAGUGUUUUCUCAGCUUUUCAAAGCGUUCCUAGAAGGGCUAAAGGCCCAAUGCUUGGCUUUUCUCUCCAUCUCCUUUUCUGCCCAUGGUCUACGACAAGCCCACUCUACUCUGAGGUCUUAUUAAACCAGCUCCCCCUUCCAUAUUUCUCCCUCAUUUUAAAUUUGUAUCUUUCAAUUCUAGUCUGUCAUAUUUUAUCUUGCAUUUCUUUAAGCAUGCCAGCCCUACUGGUGAUAUUCUGAUCCUUGGCCUUUUCUCCAAAGACUGAAAACAGAGCCAUUAUCAGGGGCAGCUUACCCUCCUCACCAGAAACUUGUUAAAUCAGUAACAUACUUUGCAAACACCUGAGAGUGAACAUCUUCUUAAGUUGCGCGACACCUGUAGGAACAAAACAUUUUCAUCCCUCCCCUGCCUCUGGCCUGCAGGACAUGCAAGAGCAAGCAUUUCCUGCAUUCUCUCAGUAGAAACCAGAAAUGGAGCAGGGCAGGAGAGGCCAUACUGGGAUAGCAGGGUAUCUUUCACUCCAUCUUGCACUUGCAUCUCCUCCCCCUCCACUGCUGUCUAGGGAGCCCAUAAAGCAGGUAGUUCACUCCGCUCCAUGCUUUAGCCCUUCAGGUCAUGGGGCACUUGCUACAUCUGCAGAGCCUUUCUAUUUUCUCUCCUCCUCUUGGGCCCUUGAGGAUGGACUUGGAAGCUAGUAGCUCAACCAAAUGCUUCUCACAGAGACUAUCAUCACACACGUGUAUGUUCCAAAAGUUCCAUCCAGAGACCUGCUGUGAGAUUCUUCUGACGAAUACCCCUCACCUUUCUUCUUUCUCCUUUCUCCUUUCCUGUAAAUCCUCUAUUUCUGCUGUCCUUUCUUCUUCCUCCUCUUUCUUUCGUCUCUUAAUCAUGUGCACAUAUUCACAGAGAAGUAUGUUGAAGUGAACAACAAAAUGACCACUAGUAAGUUCCUCAUUUUUAAAAGUUCAUUCAGGAUAUUCUACUCAUGUUAUGUGCAUCUUUAUUAUAAUCUCACUCAAAGGCAAGAAGUAAAGAAAAAAAUUAAACAAAACUAGUUCAUGUAUGUGGGGGCGGGGGUAGCAGAACUUAAAACAGGUCAAUUAUUCAUAGAUUCAGUUAAUGAAUAUUUAUUUUGUAAUGCAUGGUACCAUAAAUUGUAUAAGGUCCUGAGAAUACAAUAGUGAAUAAAAUGAAUGUUUCCCCUGUGCCACUUAUAGUCUAAUAAGAAAAAUAGAUAUUAAAGUCCAAGAGAAAAUUUAAGUGAUCUGGAAACAAAAUGGAUGUGUUCUAAUUUCCCUUGGGGGUAAGGGAUUAGAUACACACACACACACACACACACACACGCACACU